rnacentral:rRNA from 1 species
UACGAAGGGUGCUAGCGUUGCUCGGAAUCACUGGGCGUAAAGCGCACGUAGGCGGUCUCUUAAGUCGGUGGUGAAAUCCUGGAGCUCAACUCCAGAACUGCCUUCGAUACUGAGAGUCUUGAGUCCGGGAGAGGUGAGUGGAACUGCGAGUGUAGAGGUGAAAUUCGUAGAUAUUCGCAAGAACACCAGUGGCGAAGGCGGCUCACUGGCCCGGUACUGACGCUGAGGUGCGAAAGCGUGGGGAGCAAACAGG